rnacentral:misc_RNA from 1 species
AGACGGCAAAUCUCAAAAUUCGUCAACGCAUUCUUCCAAUUUUAAGAAAUUAACAACAGCAUAAACACAAGAUGAGAUGAUGGGGAAUGGCGGAGAUAAUAGUUCAGCUGCAUUUCGAUGUUUGGUUAGGAGAAAGAGAGUUGAUGCUGCAACCCAAACACUUGCAACUCACCAAUUGGCCAGAAAACUCUCCCUUUUUGACCUUGUAGCUAUUGGUGUUGGAGCAACCAUAGGUGCUGGAGUCUAUAUUCUUGUUGGAACAGUUGCCAGAGAGCACACUGGACCGUCUCUCACUAUUUCCUUCUUUAUUGGUGGAUUAGCGGCUGCUCUUUCUGCAUUUUGUUAUGCAGAGCUUGCGUGUCGCUGCCCAUCUGCUGGAAGUGCAUAUCAUUACUCAUAUGUCUGCAUUGGAGAAGGGGUCGCAUGGCUAAUUGGUUGGGCUUUGAUCCUGGAAUACACUCUUGGUGGUGCAGCUGUCGCUCGUGGCGUAGCACUCAAUUUGGCUUCGUUCUUUGGUGGUGUAGAUAAGCUGCCCUCAAUUUUGGCUCGUCAAACCAUUUUUGGUAUAGUAGUAGACCCCGGUGCUGCAAUCUUAGUUGUCAUUAUCACUGCCUUAUUAUGCACUGGAAUCAAGGAGAGUUCCCUUGCGCAAGCCAUAAUUACAACUGUCAAUAUUAGUGCGUUAGUAUUUAUCAUCUUAGCUGGUGCAUACCUGGGAUGUAAGACUGGGUGGCCAGGUUAUGAAGUCUCUAGUGGGUACUUCUCUUUUGGAGUAAAUGGGCUGUUGGCUGGCUCUGCCACAGUCUUCUUUUCAUACAUUGGUUUUGAUAUAGUUGCUAGCACAGCUGAGGAGGUAAAGAACCCUCAACGUGACAUGCCUCUUGGUAUAGGGAUUGCAGUAUCCAUAUGUGUCAUAUUGUAUAUGCUGGUAUCAGCUGUUAUUGUUGGUUUAGUUCCAUACUACGCAUUGGACCCCGAUACACCAAUUUCCUCUGCUUUUGCAGGCUAUGGCAUGGAAUGGGCUGUUUACAUUAUAACAGCUGGAGCUGUGACUGCUCUUUGUGCAAGUCUUAUUGGUGCAAUUAUUCCACAGCCUCGAAUACUGAUGGCAAUGGCUAGGGAUGGAUUGCUGCCAUCAUUUUUUUCAGACAUUAGUAGGCACACUCAAGUUCCUGUCAAGGGCACCAUAGCAACUGGCAUCUUCAUUGCAAUCCUAGCCUUUUUUAUGGAUGUCUCUCAGCUAGCGGGAAUGGUUAGUGUUGGCACAUUGCUCUCAUUCACCAUAGUUGCUCUUUCAAUCUUGAUACUUAGAUAUGUUCCACCAGAUGAACUGCCUUUCCUGCCAUCUGACCAGCAAUUGAAUGUUUGUGGUCGACAUCGAGAUGCUUUUGAAACAGAUAUGGCUGGUAGGCCUCUUCUUCAGAAUGUAGCUCAAGAUAAACUCAGGAGAAGAAAACUUGCUGCUUGGAGUAUUACCAUGGUAUGCUUUGGAGUUAUUGUAGUGGUAGCUGCUAUUUCCACUGAAGGUCUAUCCAGCAUUCUGUGCUUUAUAUUGAGUGGAAUCGGUGGUAUGCUUGUAAUCUGCUGUUUGACUGUGCUCAAUUCUAUUGAUCAAGCUGGCACUAAGGAGAGUUUCACGAAACCGGGAGGUUUCAUGUGUCCAUUUGUGCCUUUCCUACCUGUAGCCAGUGUUCUUAUAAAUACAUACUUGUUAUUAAAUAUUGGAGCUCAAACGUGGAUACGUGUUUUGAUAUGGCUUGGUGUGGGAGUUAUCAUAUACAUAUUUUAUGGCAGAGGACAUAGCUUGUUGUUUGAUGAUGUUCGAAGGCCUAUUACACAUACUGAUGAUGAUCAUGCAGAUGCAACAUUAUCUUAGGUUAAUCUCAUGUAUCAAUUCUGUACGUUACCAGGCAUGAACCUUGGCUGUAGAAUACUGAAAAGUACCAUAUACUUGUGAACUUAUUGUAAGAUAGAAAAAUUGCAGAAGUCAUGAUGCUGAGAGCCAUAUAAUGUGGUGUAUAUAAUCAUUCAAAUUGCCUCUAGUUAAUUGAGGCCUGCUGAUAGCAUUAUCUUGUAUUUUGCUGAUAUAGAUGGAGUUGCUUCAUAAGUUUAGGAUGAAUAAAGUUAAAGUGUAAUAUUUUCUGUACUAUAGACCAGACUAU